GUGGGGAAUAUUGCACAAUGGGGGAAACUCUGACGCAGUGACGCCGCGUGCAGGAAGAAGGUUUUCGGAUUGUAAACUGCUUUAGACAGGGAAGAAACAAGACAGUACCUGUAGAAUAAGCUCCGGCUAACUACGUGCCAGCAGCCGCGGUAAUACGUAGGGAGCGAGCGUUAUCCGGAUUUAUUGGGUGUAAAGGGUGCGUAGACGGGAAAAUAAGUUAGUUGUGAAAUCCCUCGGCUUAACUGAGGAACUGCAACUAAAACUGUUUUUCUUGAGUGCUGGAGAGGAAAGUGGAAUUCCUAGUGUAGCGGUGAAAUGCGUAGAUAUUAGGAGGAACACCAGUGGCGAAGGCGACUUUCUGGACAGUAACUGACGUUGAGGCACGAAAGUGUGGGGAGCAAACAGGAUUAGAAACCCUUGUAGUCC
rnacentral:rRNA from 1 species